GGGGGGGGCGCGGCGGGGCCCCAGCCCUGAGCCGCCUGUGCCCGUGCCAGGUCGGGGAGAAGACGCCCGAGUCCCAGCGGCAGGCGUGCGCGGGGCACCUGCCGGCCAUCAGAGCCUUCUUCAGGUUCCCAGCCUUGGCCGCCGACCCGGGGCUG
rnacentral:lncRNA from 1 species